GCUUGGUGCCGAUUAUGAGUAAGUUCUUGCUCUGUUAGUUCCCUCAAGAGUUCUUUUGAGAGCUGGUUGUUAAAAAGAGUCUGACACCUUCUUCCUUUCUCUUGUUUCCUUUCUCGCCAUGUGAUCUCUGCCCACAUCAGCUCCUCUUCACCUUCCACCAUGAGUGGACCAACCUGAGACCAUCACCAGAAGCAGAUGCUGGCCUCUUGCUGCUUCUACAGCCUGUGGAACCGUGAGCCAAACGAACAAAAAACCUCUUUUUUUAAAUAAAUUAUCCUGCCUCAGAUAUUCCUUUAUAGCAAUACAAAAAUUGACAAUAUCUAACUAAAAUAAAUUGACAAAUUAAGAGAGGAUAAUUUAAGAAAGACGACAUGGGCCAUAAACCAAGGAUUAUAAUUAAAUUAAUUCAUUGCGCCGAUAUCUAUUGAUACACAUCUGUACAUUUUACAUACCCACAAAUAUUUGUAGUGAUUGAAUGGAUAGAUAUCUUCUGUCCCAUAGAGGUGGCUUUUCUCCCUUUAAAUUGAGGCUUUCUCAAUGAGACCCUGAGGCAGCUAUCUACAUGAAGAAUUGGAAGGCAUCCUCCCACACACAGACACUGUGAGUGCUCACACUUUACCAGCAACUGCAUUACUCAUGUCAUUUCUGACAGUUCAGAUACCUAAUGUAUGGAUGUGUCACUCACAGAAAGGUGUUCCACAGUGUGUAACAGCACCUAGGUACCAUCAUGCAAUUCAGAUGCAUCCCUGACCCAAGUCAUCAAAACUGCACACUGAAAGAAGGUAGAACAAUUGUUCAAACUGAGAUCAGAAAUACAGACCAAAAGAAAACUUAGAUCUCAUGUGAUUUAAAGCUGUAGUUUAGAAUGUUUACAAUCUCAGCUUUAAAGCCAAGAAUUCUGUGGAAAUGGGCAAUAUAAAGUGUCUCUAGUGUUGAGAUGGAUACAGAAAAUGUAAACGUUUUUAAGUAUGAGUUUGCUGCCAGUUUGCCAGGAUGGCUAAAUCUAGAAAAACCUGAAACUAGUGUGAUUGGAUUUGGGAAAAGGCAAGUAUUGCUAAGGCAACAAGGAGUGUACUCUCUUAAAUGAGAAAUCAAGGUGUAUUCUCACUGGAGGUUUGCCUUUGAUGUAUGAAUGUUACAUACCAGCAACCAGUUUGCUCAUAGCGGUUGAUAAUUUAAGGUGAUUUGCAGAAUGCACCUUGCUGUAUCAUGCAAAUGACACGACCUUCUCUGCCUGGGCUGCAAUGGAGUCAGGCUGGUGGAACUGAAACAAAUGCCUGAUAUUCAAGCAGCAUUUAAUCACACAUUUGGUUUGAUUUACUAAUGCUAUUGUCUUUCCAUUUUCUGUUAAGAAAUUAUUAGCAGGAAGUAACUCGGCCUGAACGCCACAAUAUGUUGGAUCAAUUUGAGAGACAAGAUAGAUCACUGGGAUUUCUUCCGUCAAAUGGAACCAUUAGACUUGCAUAUUAAAAAAGUAUAUACUUCUGUUUCGAGUGUAUAAGUGAUACAUUGCUUACCAUUAUGCAAAAGGCCACCCAAGACAACAAGAGGAGAGAUAUGAAUGGAUGGCAGGGAAGGUGAGAUAGAUACCAGUCAGUUGGGAGACUCAAGGACCUCGGACAAAGAGUCAGACCAAGUGGACCAGGGAGCUAAUAAAGAAGAAUUCUUCCGCCCAGCACGGUGGCUCACACCUGUAAUCCCAGCACUUUGGGAGGCUGAGACCGGCAGAUUACCUGAGGUCAAGAGUUCGAGACAAGUCUGGCCAAUAUGGAGAAACCCUGUCUCUACUAAAAAUACAAAAAUUAGCCGGGCGUGGUGGCGGGCGCUUGUAAUUCCAGCUACUUGGGAGGCUGAGGCAGGAGAAUUGCCUGAACCCCAGAAGUGGAGGUUGCAGUGAGCCAAGAUCACAUCACUGCACUCCAGCCUGGGUGACAAGAGUGAAACUCCGUCUCAAAAAAAAAAAAAAAAAAAAAUCUUCAUGAUGCUUUUUUGAUUUCUAGAAAGUUAAGAAAUAAAUGAUUUUUCUCUUAUGGGGAAGAUAAAAAGUGGAUGUGGAUUCUUUCCUACUCCUGCAACUGAGAAGUGGAAUCUAAUUUUAUCCCUGUGAGCCUAGGACACCCAUAGUAAGUUGCUGGAUCCACAGAAUGUGGCAAAAGUGAUGUUCUGGACUUCUACGCCUAAGUCAUCAAAACCUGCGCAACUCUGUCCAUGCCUCUUGGAAUGCUCAUCCUAGGAGAAGUCAACUGCCAUGUAAGAAAUCCUGAGAAUACCAUUCUUUAGAGAAGUUCAAGCUAGUCACGGGGAGAUACUAUAUACAGAGAGAGGGAUGACCUGCUAGUCCCAGUUGUGUCAGCCAUCCCAACUGAGGCAACAGACUUUUAAAUUAAAAAGCCAUCUUGGACAUUCCAGCCCAAGGAGACACAAUGUAGAGAAAAAUGAAGAUGAAUUGGACAAAACUAAGGUUCUUGACAUAUGAGUACCAUUGAGCUGGCCCAGAUAAAUUGAGAUACUUGAGUCAUCUUGGCUGAGGUUCCAGUCAUCACAGAGCAGGGAUGAGAUCAUCCUGCUCUACCUUUCUGAAUUGUGAGCAUAAUAAAAAUGAGUGUUUUACACCACUAAAUGUUGAGGUGGUUUGUUAUGCAGCAAUAGAUAAACAGAACAUUUUAGUUAAAGCCUUUGAUACGACUUCAUGAUUGAGUGCCCUUCAAAAUCAGAAUUGUUAGUCAUGGAAAUAACACAGCAAACUGCAGUUAUUCAGAGCUCUUGGGGAUUAAGUCAUCUUGGAUGAUAGAAUGAUGGCAUUUCAAAAGAUAGAGGUGAUUAAUCUUUUAAAUGUUGGUGAUAAUGUAUUUUAACUGUUUAA
rnacentral:lncRNA from 1 species